CAGGCAUUGCCCUAGUAACGGCGAGUGAAGCGGCAACAGCUCAAAUUUGAAAUCUGGCGUCUUUGGCGUCCGAGUUGUAAUUUGCAGAGGGCGCUUUGGCAUUGGCAGCGGUCCAAGUUCCUUGGAACAGGACGUCACAGAGGGUGAGAAUCCCGUACGUGGUCGCUAGCCUUUACCGUGUAAAGCCCCUUCGACGAGUCGAGUUGUUUGGGAAUGCAGCUCUAAAUGGGAGGUAAAUUUCUUCUAAAGCUAAAUACUGGCCAGAGACCGAUAGCGCACAAGUAGAGUGAUCGAAAGAUGAAAAGCACUUUGGAAAGAGAGUUAAAAAGCACGUGAAAUUGUUGAAAGGGAAGCGCUUGCAGCCAGACUUGCCUGUAGUUGCUCAUCCGGGUUUCUACCCGGUGCACUCUUCUAUAGGCAGGCCAGCAUCAGUUUGGGCGGUUGGAUAAAGGUCUCUGUCAUGUACCUCCUUUCGGGGAGAACUUAUAGGGGAGACGACAUGCAACCAGCCUGGACUGAGGUCCGCGCAUCUGCUAGGAUGCUGGCGUAAUGGCUGUAAGCGGCCCGUCUUGAAACACGGACCAAGGAGUCUAACAUCUAUGCGAGUGUUUGGGUGUCAAGCCCGAGCGCGUAAUGAAAGUGAACGGAGGUGGGAACCUUUCGGGGUGCACCAUCGACCGAUCCUGAUGUCUUCGGAUGGAUUUGAGUAAGAGCAUAGCUGUUGGGACCCGAAAGAUGGUGAACUAUGCUUGAAUAGGGUGAAGCCAGAGGAAACUCUGGUGGAGGCUCGCAGCGGUUCUGACGUGCAAAUCGAUCGUCAAAUUUGGGCAUAGGGCGAAAGACUAAUCGAA
rnacentral:rRNA from 1 species